GACGAACCGAGCGAACGUUAUUCGGAAUCACUGGGCUUAAAGGGUGCGUAGGCGGGCACGCGAGUCAGGGGUGAAAUCCCACGGCCCAACCGUGGAAGUGCCUCUGAUACCGCGAGCCUCGAGGGGGAUAGGGGCGUGCGGAACUUCCGGUGGAGCGGUGAAAUGCGUAGAUAUCCUAAGGAACACCGGUGGCGAAAGCGGCUCACUGGAUCUCUUCUGACGCUGAGGCACGAAAGCUAGGGUAGCGAACGGG
rnacentral:rRNA from 1 species